rnacentral:sRNA from 1 species
GCCACAGUGACCAAAGUGGGUGCAGCACCCGC